UCAUAAUUGCUUUCAGUCACUGAUAUG
rnacentral:sRNA from 1 species